rnacentral:rRNA from 1 species
UACGAAGGGGGCUAGCGUUGCUCGGAAUUACUGGGCGUAAAGGGCGCGUAGGCGGAUAGUUCAGUCGGGGGUGAAAGCCCGGGGCUCAACCUCGGAACUGCCUUCGAUACUGGCUAUCUUGAGUACGGGAGAGGUGUGUGGAACUCCGAGUGUAGAGGUGAAAUUCGUAGAUAUUCGGAAGAACACCAGUGGCGAAGGCGACACACUGGCCCGUUACUGACGCUGAGGCGCGAAAGCGUGGGGAGCGAACAGG